AAGAAGAGUUUAGAAACACAGAAACUGCUAACUAUCUGACCCUGAAGUUAAAGCCCUCAGUCUUCUUA
rnacentral:tRNA from 1 species